AAUUCUGAUUUUUAAAGCAGAUCUUCAACGUCAAGCAACAUCGCGACACGCGCUAUCACACGAUGGCAGGCUCGACCUUCACACUGCUGGUUAUUUUAAGUCUUGCAACUUUGUUGCUUGCUCAGCCAAACAGCGCACCUUUUCCAAGUAAUCAUUUUUGUGGCAAAUACAACAGGGCAACUGACUGUCCCGACGAGGCUUCCUUGGUG